rnacentral:misc_RNA from 1 species
UACCAGUGUUACCGGUCUGUCUUAUUGGACUUUUUCAUUUAACUGAAGGACAACCAACAACGGGGGUUGCGCUCGUUAAGGAAACUAAUCCAACAUCUCACGACACGAGCUGACGACAGCCAUGCAACACCUGAGUAAAAAGCCGUGGAACAGAAUAACGGUCCUCAUUCUGUAAUAAUUUGCGUUUUAAGCAACUCGAGCCUUCAAAGUCUAGAACUGGUAAGGUUCUGCGCGUUGUAUCGGAUUAAACCACAUGCUCCACCGCUUGUGCAGAUCUCCGUCAAUUUCUUUGGGUUUUAGCCUUGCGGCCGUACUAACCAGGUGGAAUGUUUAGUGCGUUAACUGAACUGUCGAACUAUAAGCCCGACAGUUAACAUUCAUCGUUGAGGGCGUGGACUAC